rfam:Frondihabitans sp. PAMC28766, complete genome.
GGGGAUGAUCGGUUUCGACAUCGCCUGUAUGCGAACGAGAAGCGGGCCGAGGAUCCAGGGUUAUCUCGUAAACGAUCUCUGGAAAACAAUAAGUGCCAAUAAAUCGCGCACUGACUUCGCUCUCGCUGCGUAAGCAGUAGAGCCACAUAAGUCCGUCAGACCGGAGACUGCUCUCUAUCCGGACCCUGACGUCAGCUAGAGGGCUUGCUGAACGGUUGCGCCACAGGGCCGUUCGGGACUUGCACUGUGACUGGGCCCGUCCACCUAGAUGCCGGUAGCAAAGGUGGGGGCCGAGUAGAACGACUCAUCCGGCUACGCCCGUAGAAUGCGUUCAAUCUCAGCGAUGGACGGGGGUUCAAUUCCCCCCAUCUCCACCA